CCCCCCCAGCGCCCUGCACCCUCAGUGACAGUUGGUGACUGUUGGUGAAGUGUGCUGACAACAAUGGCGUACAGCUGCAGUGCUGUGCGCUACCUUAUGAAGACUGAAAGUCUUCUGCCGCCUGUUUCUGGAUCUCUGGACCUCUUCAACUUCGGCAUCUGCAAGGGGGGUCGGCGGCACGGCUCCGGGACGAACCCCAGGGUGAGACCUGUGUUCCGACUCCCUCUGGAGCUAAUGGUGUCCAGUAGCCUAAGAAGCAAAUCCAUCCUGCACGCAGGAAUGAAAAAGAUCAUUGGAGAGAAGUACGUACUUUUAGCAAAAAUGCAAGCUGUUUCUUCUGCUCUUCCAGCCUCACUGUGGUGGCCUUCCAUCUCUCCUGAAUGUCAAUGAGUUCUGCCUGUAAGGAAGCCUCCGCCCCGCUAUCAGCAGAGAGAAGCAGCUGCUUCCCAGCCUCCACAGUCAGGAUGUAGCUGCCUUGUUGUCUGUGCAGUACUCUGUCCCUAAGCUGCAACACCAAAUAGCAUGUACACGUGAAUAGGUGGCUAUCAAUAACGUAAAUGAUAACUAAGAAUAAAAGUACGUGUGAAACCGUUUUAAUUUCACAAUCUCAA